CUUAAAUUGUAGCUUUGCUGUUUAGCAGCUGGGUGGGUAUGGACGCAUUGCUUAACCUAACAGAGCUUCGGUUUUCCUGUUAGAAAAAUGCGGCUAGUGAAACUUAACUCCCAAGGUAGUAAGAAGUAAAGAAGUUAACAAUGGUACUAAGCCUAACAAGUAGGAGGCACUGCAACUAAGGUCUAUUCCAUUUUCCCUUCUUGUUAAUUCUCUUUCUUUCAUAAAUGCAGCAUAAAGCGGAGGCAUCAUGGUGGGAAGAUACUUCUCCUGGAUGCUAUGGAAAAUUAAUGAGGCGAAAUGGUAAACUCAUUAAGGCAGAACUGCUUCUGCAGAGUUCUCUGUCUUUGGACAUCAUCCUAGAAGCCCCCUGUGGCUCCAGUCAUCUUCCUCUCCGAAGCAGCUGAAGGACCAAGAGGAUAGAAGUAAGGUUCAUAGAUGAGAUCCGGGGUUUUAAGAAGAGAACAGCCCUUGUACUCUGGUAGGGGUGACUCAGAGAGGAACAUCACUUACCACAGUUGCCUGCUCUCCCCACAAAAGUUCCACAGAAGGACCUUUGAGGGUACACAGAGAGCUCCCCUUCUUUUGAGCAUUAGCUUUCCAUGAAUUUUUCAGUCUCAAGCUUACUUUCCUCCCAUUCUACUUGUCUCUAUUUUUCGUCUUUUUCUGUUACUUAUGAGUGUUACUACCCCCCAAUGCUUUUCACCCUUCUUCCUCCCUCAUCCUUCUCUCCCACAAACUAUCUCCCUUUCCUUAAUUGAAUGAAAUUGCAAACUGUC
rnacentral:lncRNA from 1 species